rnacentral:tRNA from 1 species
GCGCCCGUCGUAUAAUGGCUAUUACCUAAGCCUUCCAAGCUUAUGAUGUGGGUUCGAUUCCCAUCGGGCGCU